rnacentral:rRNA from 1 species
UACGGGGGGGGCAAGCGUUGUUCGGAAUUACUGGGCGUAAAGGGUUCGUAGGUGGCCAACUCAGUCAGACGUGAAAUCCCUCAGCUCAACUGGGGAACUGCGUCUGAUACUAGAUGGCUCGAGUGCAGGAGAGGAACGCGGAAUUCCAGGUGUAGCGGUGAAAUGCGUAGAUAUCUGGAGGAAUACCGGUGGCGAAGGCGGCAUCCUGGACCGGCAUUGACGCUGAUGAGCGAAAGCUAGGGGAGCAAACGGG